AAUUUUUAUAUGAACCCUGUAGUUUUUAUAAUAGGGAGACCACUAUAUUCUCAGACCCACUCUAUUUGGCAGGAGAAGAACGAAUCUUGUUCAGCACACCGGGCGAGGAUCAAAUGAUAUUUAAAGAUUACAAAUAUUUUUUCCCAUCUGCCUCACCCACCCACCCCCAACCGACACAACACCUCUCCAUUUCUCUCCAAGAAUUCAUCCAAUUCUGAAAACCUCCUCACCGACCCUUAAACAUGCAGUUAUCAGAUAACGAUACGGGUGUUGAUCAAAGGGCGUGAACUUCAAGGCCUUCACCAUCAUGGCAUCAUCUGCAUGUGUUUGGUAUAUAUGGUUGAGCAUGCAGGUUUAUGUUCGAGUGACAAUGGAUUAGAUCCCAACAACUUAUUGCCACAUCCGGACCAAAAUAUUGAAUCUGUGCCAUGUAGAUUAUUUAGGAAGAUUGAAUGUUCUUGUGCUUAUAGAUAUGAACUUUGAUUUCAUCUUCAAAGCUCACACUGCUUUACACACACACACACACACACAUUUAUAAUAUAUGUGUACGGAAUCAUACAAACUAUGCGGGAUCCCUCUAUGGAAGCUCCCUGUGUAUCGGGUAAUCCUAGAAGAUCCUUUUGCUAGUCCCAGAUUUGGUUAAUGUAUUUGCUCAAGUUGUGGCAUCACCAGUUGAAACUCCUGAAGUAAAAGCACAAAUCGGAAGAGCUUUUUCUCACCUGAUUUCAUUCUAUGGCCAACAGAUGCAGGGCCUUUUGAGUAACCUCUCCCCUGCUUAUGCAAAUGCCCUAGCCGCAUUUGUCCCGAAAAGCUGAUUCAGGAUGAGCCUGUGACUUGCCUUUGCUCCAGGAAGCUGGUCGAUUGAGCCUGUGGAUUGUGAUUCUUCACCAAUAGUUUCUACCCGCUUUUUUUGCUGAGAUUCUUUUCCAAUUCAAAGACCGCGGUGUAUUGUUCCCAUGUUUCAUAGAUGGGUUGGCUGAAGUCUUGGAGGAGGACAUCGUUCUAUUCUAUAAGGUGAUCCUCCUCCUAGUAGCACCUCCAUUUUCAAGGCUGGAGAUACUGCUUUUUCUUCUUCUUCCUUAUUUUCAUGCAGUAUCUAUGUAGAUUUUUGGUUUCAAAGUGUUUUCUAUUUCAUAAGGAAUGUGAGCACCAUAUCCUUUGAAACAACAGGCUUUUGGAUUGAUUCCAUUUGGAAACAACACAGCACAGCAUAGCAAGAAUCAUGCAUACCAAAGUAUAAUUGUUUGAUACGAAUACAACCUCGGUUCAACUCCGAUAAACUUCGUAUGGAAGUAUUUAUAGAGAACAAGAUACACAUCUUAUUGAAUAAGCAAAGGCUAAACUCACAAGAACAGGUGAAUCUAAGUACGUGAAACUUUCCGUUAUUAUUUUCCAACACCACCUUUCAAACUCAUGCUUGUGGCGUCAUGUUUCCCACAAUAGUCCUUGACCGAAAAAUCAAAUCCCACGGUGGACAUAUUUUCAUGGAAAUAUUGAAGAUAUUCCACUAGGUCUAUUGGCUUAUACUGCAUGGGGUGGUCCUCGUCCGUAAGCUCGUUUGGUACAUAUAUCACUCCUUUGUUCCAAAAGAAUUGUCCGAACGAGUAUCUUACCUUAUUUUCCUUCAAAACGACUCUGUGCAUACAAGAUUUUAUUCUGUCGUUACUCCAAACCUAGGCCAAAUAAACGACGCAUGCAAACAACAUCAAUAAAAUAUAGUUAUCAAAAGUUUAAGUUAGGUUGUUAAACACAUUUCAUCUGUCCCUUUGUUCUUGAAACUUACAUUGCCUUACACUACAAGAAAAAAA